UAGUGGCACGGUGGCACAGUAUUCUAGUCAGGUACAAAACAGUCAGGACGGGGAUAAAAUACCGUUAAAGGGCACAUCGUUGAAGUUUCUUGUGCUGGCCUUGGUUGCCCAAACCGGGGCUGGUGCUGGGAGUUAAGAUUUUUGGGCAUACCGUAAUGGCAUGCGGUCUAUGACCCAGCUAUCGUGGAGACCCGACUCGGCAGAAGUAUUCAGUCUUUUGCUGACCGGGAUUAAACCUGCAAUGCGGUAAACAAUAGCUGUGUGCAGUGUAGCCUGCCUUGAGUGGAAAAUGCGAAUAAAACGUUCGACCGAUCGAAUUGAAGGCCAAUAAUUCGACAGGUUUUGGUUUUUGAAACUUUUUUCUGCAAAAGAGGAUAAACUGUUCAAGGCCUGUUAAGGAAAUCUUCUAGACUGAUUAGACUAAGGAUUAUAGUGUGUUCUCAGUGGCGAUUCGGUGCAAUUCCGGCACAAAAGGCCGAUUUUGACGAUCUCUUAAAAGGAAACUGCUUUAUUCGGCGACGAAAAGUGAGAUCGUGGGAAAGCCUACCGAACCUAUGACGCAAGGUUUACUUAGCCUAAGCCACCCAAACA
rnacentral:sRNA from 1 species